CCUACGGGAGGCAGCAGUAAGGAAUAUUGGUCAAUGGGAGAAAUCCUGAACCAGCAACGCCGCGUGAAGGACGAAGGGCUUUUAGCUUGUAAACAUCUUUUUUGUAGGGAAAAAUAUACGAUUACUUCGUGUUGAUUGUACCUUGAGAAUAAGCCCCGGCUAACUACGUGC
rnacentral:rRNA from 1 species